rnacentral:rRNA from 1 species
GAUGAACGCUGGCGGCGUGCCUAAUACAUGCAAGUCGAGCGAACGGACGAGAAGCUUGCUUCUCUGAUGUUAGCGGCGGACGGGUGAGUAACACGUGGAUAACCUACCUAUAAGACUGGGAUAACUUCGGGAAACCGGCGCUAAUACCGGAUAAUAUUUUGAACCGCAUGGUUCAAAAGUGAAAGACGGUCUUGCUGUCACUUAUAGAUGGAUCCGCGCUGCAUUAGCUAGUUGGUAAGGUAACGGCUUACCAAGGCAACGAUGCAUAGCCGAACUGAGAGGGUGAUCGGCCACACUGGAACUGAGACACAGUCCAGACUCCUACGGGAGGCAGCAGUAGGGAAUCGUCCGCAAUGGGCGAAAGCCUGACGGAGCAACGCCGCGUGAGAGAUGAAGGUCUUCGGAUCGUAAAACUCUGUUAUGAGGGAAGAACAGAUGUGUAAGUAACUGUGCACAUCUUGACGGUAACUAAUCAGAAAGCCACGGCUAACUACGUG